AGCAGCCGCGGUAAUUCCAGCUCCAAUAGCGUAUAUUAAAGUUGUUGCAGUUAAAAAGCUCGUAGUUGAAUUUUGGAUUCUGCCAAUUGGUCCAUCUUCUAGAUGAGUACUGGUUGUGUGGGGUCUAUCCGCCUGGUGAUACGUAAUGUCCUUUAUUGGAUGUUGCGGGUAGUCAGGACCUUUACCUUGAAAAAAUUAGAGUGUUUAAAGCAGGCUUAUGCCGGAAUACAUUAGCAUGGAAUAAUAGAAUAGGACGAAGUUGUUUUAUUUUGUUGGUUUCUAGGACAACCGUAAUGAUUAAUAGGGAUAGUUGGGGGCAUUAGUAUUCAAUUGUCAGAGGUGAAAUUCUUGGAUUUAUUGAAGACUAACUACUGCGAAAGCAUUUGCCAAGGAUGUUUUCAUUAAUCAAGAACGAAAGUUAGGGGAUCGAAGACGAUCAGAUACCGUCGUAGUCUUAACCAUAAACUAUGCCGACUAGGGAUCGGGCGAUGUUGUUUCCAUGACUCGCUCGGCACCUUAU
rnacentral:rRNA from 1 species